GCGGUGAUGGUUCAGUGGUAGAUUUCUCGCCUUCUGAGCGGGAUACCUGGGUUUGAUUCCCAGCCAAUCCA
rnacentral:tRNA from 1 species